GUUUUCAGCCAAAAGGAAAGUGACUGCAGGUUUUAAAGCUGAAGUGCAAGAAGGAGCAAAGAGCAAAGAAAGUGAAGACUCACCCUGAGCUAACAUCUGCUGCCAAUCUUCCUCUUUUCGUAUUUGAGCCGCCGCCAGAGCAUGACCACUGACAGAUGAGAGGCCAUGGCCUGAUGAUCAGAGCUAGGUUCCUGUCUGGGAUCCAAACCUGUGAACCUGGGUUGCUGAAGCAGAGCUUGGGAACUUAACCACUACACCACCAGGCCAGCCCCAUUGACCACUUUAACUCUGUGCCAUGAGCACAGAAGUUUUCACUAGAACUAUGCCACCACUAAUUAAGGUUUUGUGGAGAAAUUAUUUUCAAGAGUGAAUUUUAUCCAGCUGAUUUAAUUCCUGACCUCAAUGAACAGUUUAUAAAUUAUUUUUUCGAUUUUCAUUUGAAUGAAAUAAUUUUCAUCCUAUCAAUUUAACUCUUCAGUCCAUUUUUUUGGUCCACAUAAGAUUUUUCUGACUAUGCACCUACCAUUAUGAAUGCUCUCUUGAGGCUAUUGUUUCUACCGAGUCUAACUUUCCUGAGUCAAAUAUAAAGAUCUAAAUUCCAUCAUGUGCUGUUUCAGCCAAUGUCAUUUAAAAAAAAUCUGUGUUGAUAUUUGAAACAAGAAUAUUAAUUAUGUAUUAGAUAAAAGAUUGAUCAGUUGUAUGUGUUUACCCAUCCAUGAGAAAAUGUUCCCCAAUUGUUCUGUGGUCCAACACGGGAUCAUGGCCUUGCUAACCCAACACUUCCACACAUUUCCAGGCACUCUGUG
rnacentral:lncRNA from 1 species